CUUCCAUAUAAUGAACUAUCAACAAUCCACUGUUAAAAAUCUGUGGGUGAGAAAUGAAAGAAAAAGGUAAAAGGCUCCUGUGGGAAUCAUGAGGCCACGUUUAGUCCGAGCAGAUACGAGUGUCGGUGGAUGAAUGACAAACCCUAGAAUAGCCACCCAGGUAGUCGGUGCAGGUUGCUCCGUUCUGGCAAGGAUUGGGAAUGCAUUCAUCCACCUGCUCCUCACAGUAGCUACCUGUGUAUCCGGCCUGACAGUGACAGUAGUGUGUGUUUCCAGCAUCCAGACACUGUCCAGAGUUACGACAUAACCGCACCACAUCUACACCUAAAAGUGGGAGAAUCAAACAUCACAGCAGAGGGUUAAACCCUGAACAGCUUCACCAAUAUGUGGGUCUGGAGUCACACUCGUUGAUGUCAUGCUGGCAGUAGUUUCCAGUGAACCCCGCUGGGCACAGGCAGAGGGGGCGCUAAUGGACAACAGAGGAAGAAGGAGUGCUAGAGCCUUUUUCUGGUACACUUUAUCAUGAGGCAGAUCAGUUGGCUGAUUUUAACAAUCAGGUUCUGAAAACUGAGCUGAGAUCAGUGGUUUCAUGAUAGCUAUGUCUGGAGGCAUAAUAUAAAAUUUUCUUUGCAUGUCAGAAUGACAGUACAACUACCAUUUAAAAGUAUUUUUAAGUAGUUUCCAUUUGUGGUAUCGGCAUGUUGGGUUUGUGUAAGAAACGGUCACAGUGGACAGGUAUUCUUCAGUCUACAGACUACAGUAUAUUUAGGGAAAAUUUGUUUCUCACCAAUGAAUUUAGUAUUUUUAUUAUGCAUUUUGUAUUAAACAUUUUAGGUUUUUAUAUAGUUUUAGAGUAAGAAGUAUAAAUACAUAUGUUUAAUUAGUUAUUAGCCUAGGGUUAAUUAUGUUCUACAGGUGAGUUUUUCUGUGUUCUCUCUUAAAGUCUUCCAUGUAUUGGAUUUGAAUUUUAGCCAAUUGUUCUUUGGUGUGUAUCUAUUACUGCUUUGUUGAUAUGUUUCUAAGAUAGUGAAGAUGGGUUUGACUUGUUACCUCUUGGUUGUAACAAUUGUCUGUUGUAGCCAGUAUUUACACUUGAAAACUUAUACAAAUGCCACAAAUAAGAGUGCAGU